rnacentral:lncRNA from 1 species
CCACGUGACCAACUCCGGAGCGCACUACUUGUGUGGGGCUUCCAUCACAAGAUUUAGAAACAGACCGUGAGCAUGAUCCAAUCCUUGUCUCGAGAAUACCCUAUUCUCUAGGGUUACAAUCAUCAUAUAGUCCGUAGGUUUCACAUACACUACGACUCAUAUGUGUCAUUUGUUCUUUUGCUUACUAUCAACUAAAUGCCACUCGUUCAUUUGUUUACUAUCGACUAGAUGCCACUCGUUCUUUGUUUAACAUUAGACCAACCAUUGAGUCAAUCUCUUCCUCUGCACUAUAGGAUUCACAAAUCUCGACCCAAUCCUUAUCGAUCCACAAUACCAAAUAUCUAAUACAUGCUACGAUAUCAUCAAGGAAGGCAUAAGGAAAGGCAAUGCACAAUCAUCCUAUAAUGCAAUAAUACAAGAUGCAAGGGUCGACAUGUACUAAGACAUAGAAGGGAGCCCGAUUGCUUCGGGAUGGACACCACCCACCUCUUGGCGAUGCCGCGACGAUAGAAAACUCGACGUUGCGAUCUUUGCACGUCGCUUCAACUCCUCGGGCGAAGCGAGCCCUCGAGUACCCGAUUCGGCAAUAACUCCACACUCGCUCGUCGGAUCGGCAAACCGUCUUCGCCGACGCGUUCCGAGACCUAGCAAUUUGGUUUACGACCUAUUAAUAUAGAUCAAAACCCUAGAUUUACCAAAAUC